UGCAGUCGAACGAGACAAAGGUGCUUGCACCUUUAGAAAGUGGCGAACGGGUGAGUAACGCGUGGGUAACCUGCCCUAUGGAAAGGAAUAGCCUCGGGAAACUGGGAGUAAUGCCUUAUAGUAUAUAGAGGUCGCAUGAUUUUUAUAUGAAACGCUCCGGCGCCAUAGGAUGGACCCGCGUCCCAUUAGCUGGUUGGUGAGAUAACAGCCCACCAAGGCGACGAUGGGUAACCGGUCUGAGAGGGCGAACGGUCACACUGGAACUGAGACACGGUCCAGACUCCUACGGGAGGCAGCAGUGGGGAAUAUUGCGCAAUGGGGGAAACCCUGACGCAGCAAUACCGCGUGAGUGAAGAAGGUUUUCGGAUCGUAAAGCUCUGUUAUUGGGGAAGAAAAAAAGACGGUACCCAAGAAGAAAGUCCCGGCUAACUACGUGCCAGCAGCCGCGGUAAUACGUAGGGGACAAGCGUUGUCCGGAUUUACUGGGCGUAAAGGGCACGCAGGCUGUUUUUUAAGUCAGAUG
rnacentral:rRNA from 1 species